GUCCAGCGGAAGGGUUUCCUUCCGCUGGACGAGGUACAUGUACCUUGUCCAUUGGAAGAGCCUUCCGCUUGGACGAGGUACAUGUACCUCAUCCAGUGCGGAAGGGUUUCCUUCCGAUGGAC
rnacentral:miRNA from 1 species